rnacentral:rRNA from 1 species
GCAGCGUGGAUUAGGCAUGCAAGUCGAACGGGAAGCUUCGGUUUCAAUCUUCGGAAAGUUACUGAGGUGGAGAGUGGCGAAAGGGUGAGUAACGCGUGAGUAAUCUACCUCAAAGUCUGGGAUAACCCCGCGAAAGUGGAGCUAAUACCGGAUGUGGUAUCUUGUCGCAUGGCAAGAUUACUAAAGGUGGGGAUCCUUCGGGACCUGCUGCUAUGAGAGGAACUCGCGUCCCAUCAGCUUGUUGGUAGGGUAACGGCCUACCAAGGCUUACGGGUAGCCGGCCUGAGAGGGUGACCGGCCACACUGGGACUGAGACACUGCCCAGACUCCUACGGGAGGCUGCAGUCGAGGAUCAUUCGCAAUGCGCGAAAGCGUGACGAUGCGACGCUGCGUGGAGGAUGACAGCCUUCGGGUUGUAAACUCCUGUCAUGAGGGAACAGUAAGCAAAGGGCUAAUACCCCUUCGCUCCGAUGGUACCUCAAGAGGAAGCCACAGCUAACUCUGUGCCAGCAGCCGCGGUAAUACAGAGGUGGCGAGCGUUGUUCGGAUUUACUGGGCGUAAAGGGUGCGUAGGUGGUUUCGUAUGUCGGAUGUGAAAGCCCGGGGCUCAACCCCGGAACUGCAUUCGAAACUGCGGGACUAGAGUACAGGAUGGGAGAGCGGAAUUCUUGGUGUAGCAGUGAAAUGCGUUGAGAUCAAGAAGAACACCGGUGGCGAAGGCGGCUCUCUGGAAUGUUACUGACACUCAUGCACGAAAGCUGGGGGAGCAAACAGGAUUAGAUACCCUGGUAGUCCCAGCCGUAAACUGUGUGCACUUGGCGUUGGCGGUAUUGACCCCGCCAGUGCCGGAGCUAACGCGUUAAGUGCACCGCCUGGGGAGUACAGCCGCAAGGUUAAAACUCAAAGAAAUUGACGGGGGCCCGCACAAGUGGAGGAGCAUGUGGCUUAAUUCGAUGCAACGCGAAGAACCUUACCUGGGUUUGACAUCGGAGAGGCUUGCCUCUAGCGCGUGAAAGCGCGUUUACCUGACAGGUGCUGCAUGGCUGUCGUCAGUUCGUGCCGUGAGGUGUUUGGUUAAGUCCAGCAACGAACGCAACCCUUGUGUUUAGUUGCAACCCCCGAGCAAUCGGGGCGCACUCUAGACAGACCGCCCGUACAAGCGGGAAGGAAGGUGGGGAUG